UCACCGCAUAAUUCCUGGAGAAAUCCAGGGUU
rnacentral:sRNA from 1 species